CGGGGGGGGCAAGCGUUGUUCGGAAUUACUGGGCGUAAAGGGCGCGUAGGCGGCCUUCUAAGUCGGACGUGAAAUCCCUCGGCUUAACCGAGGAACUGCGUCCGAUACUGAAAGGCUUGAAUCCGGGAGAGGGAUGUGGAAUUCCAGGUGUAGCGGUGAAAUGCGUAGAUAUCUGGAGGAACACCGGUGGCGAAGGCGGCAUCCUGGACCGGUAUUGACGCUGAGGCGCGAAAGCUAGGGGAGCAAACGGG
rnacentral:rRNA from 1 species